UAGCGUAGGGUGCAAGCGUUGUCCGGAAUUGAUUGGGCGUAAAGAGCUCGUAGGCGGUUUGUCGCGUCUGCUGUGAAAACUCGGGGCUUAACUCCGGGCCUGCAGUGGGUACGGGCAGACUAGAGUGCGGUAGGGGAGACUGGAAUUCCUGGUGUAGCGGUGAAAUGCGCAGAUAUCAGGAGGAACACCGGUGGCGAAGGCGGAUCUCUGGGCCGAUACUGACGCUGAGGAGCGAAAGCGUGGGGAGCGAACAGG
rnacentral:rRNA from 1 species